ACUGUCACUAUAACGUUCCCUCUUGUUUAAAUUCUGUUAAAUAUUUACUUAAAUAUUUACUUGAAAAUUACACACCGGUGCUUUGUUGAACGUCCCAAAAAGGAAGAAAUCAUCAAGAGCGAACCUGAAAAAAUUAACCAUUGCAGCUCAUUUGACGUUCAUCGCGCCUGUCAUAACAGCUAAUUAAAAAUUGUUUGGCGUUUGGGCCAUGAUUUUUUGGAAACUUUCGUAUGCCUUUUUUGCCUAUACUGUUAUGCUUUGACUUUCUAAUUGCUGUCAAUAGAGGGUAUGGGGAAAUAUUGGGGGUUAUGGGCUUGGGAACGAUGCUUUUGAGCAAAUAUUUAACAUAGUUACAGUGGAGUUUUCUGUUUGGGAAAUGAGUGAAAAGAAAAAAGGGCGAAAAAAAGGGAGAGAAAAAAGCAAAAAGCGAAGAGUUCGUGUGUAACAUUUACCUUUUUGCCAUCCAGCUCGUGUGUGCCUUGGAUUUGGAAGGAGAUGUAAACAGGAGACGGUUAGCGAGAAGUUCUGCAAAUAUUUACCCAAGCCAGGAGCCAAGUAACUGAACCUGAACCAGCCCAAGCCCGAGCCCUUUACGGAGCCCCAGAAUCAGAAUCAGAAUCAGAAAAACAGAAAGAGAAACAGGAGCCCCGCCUCGGCCAAAGUUGAACCUGCCAUCGUCAGUUUAGCACGUGCGCCAAUUAGGCGCUCAAAUUACAUCAAAAUAUUGCCAGCAAAGAGUGGCUUGGGGGGGCCAAAUGAGCAGUCUAAGGCCCAUGGCCCCAUUCCCCAUGCCCCAUCCACGAAUGCCCCCUUUUCGAACUGAACUGUUCGAAGGCAGACGCUUACAAGCCAUUACGUAAGGCGCGCCGUCUCUUUCCACGCAAGCUCCGUCUCUUUCUCUUUCUGUUUCUGUUUCUUUCGUCCGUGUUGUGAUAAACUUAUUCUUGUUAAAUAUUUAAUUAAAAUGCUUAUUAUCUCGCACUGCAUUUUAAUGAGUCUCCCAUGCCAGGGCAACGAAACGAGACAGCCAAAGACAACAAACCAGCUCACAGAUUUUGGGCUGUGGUGGCCCCCCUUUCAAUCCGCUCCCUGCAACCCCCUGCCACACCCUGCCACGCCCUGCAACCCCGCGCAACCCCCUUGCAACACCGCCUGUGUGCACGUUUAUGUUUAUUUGAGUUUUGCCACUUGGCAGCAACGCUUAACGACGCCUCGUCUCCUCGCUGCGAAACUCACAACUUCUUUCAGCCCGGCCCAGACACAUGCUCGUAUUUGUCUUGCUCUUUUAAGCCCUCCACUGCUGCCACCACCCACCAUCGACCACCCACCAUUCACCGCCCAGAAACCGACGUAAGCCGCCCAAUCUGCACCACCACCCCACUCCCCACUCAAUCCGAGCCCAACUAGAACCGCAAGCACAGACAGUAAUUAACGACGAUUUUAUUGCAAUUGUGGCAAUUGUUACGGUCCUGAUUCCCCUCAGUGUGGCCCAGAAACCAGGAGCACCAGCCCAGCACCAGGCCCAGUUAACAUGGCCAGGUCCAAAUGGUCAGCUGGCGUGGGGUUAAACAACCCAUCUGGCAUACAAAUAUGCUUCGAAUUUGGGAGUGUUAUGGUCAAUGAUGGAAAAGAAGCAUAGCAAUGAUUAGUAAAUAUGAUUUAUUAAUAAAUAA